rnacentral:rRNA from 2 species
AAAACAAUAAAAAGUAAUUUUUAUUAUGUUUAGACCCCCCUUCUGUGUAUUAUUACCUGUUACUUUAAUUCUAAACCAUUAUUCUCAAUGAUAUUUGUCUGAUUUUGUAAUAAAUUAAAAGUUAAAACUUUCAACAACGGAUCUCUUGGUUCUCGCAUCGAUGAAGAACGCAGCGAAAUGCGAUAAGUAGUGUGAAUUGCAGAAUUCAGUGAAUCAUCGAAUCUUUGAACGCACAUUGCGCCUUCUAGUAUUCUGGGAGGCAUGCCUGUUUGAGCGUCAUUAAAACCUAUUCAAGUAGUUUACUUGGAAGUGAAGGAAGAAUACUUUUUAAAUAAAGAGUUCUCCUUUGAAAUUGAUUAGCAGAUGGUAUAAAAUCCUGACGUUGCAAGAUUUUUUUAUCUUUCGAAGGUGAUUUUAUUAUCUUGCUUCAAAUCCAUUUAUUGGCAUAUAUAUUAUAGUUAUGUUUGUUUUACAAAUAUACUAAAUAUUGUUGACAGUAAAUAAUUUAUUUAUAAGUUGACCUCAAAUCAGGUAGGGAUACCCGCUGAACUUAA